rnacentral:lncRNA from 14 species
ACAAAACAAUACCGCCUGUGCUUCUGAGACAGGGAUCGUCAUUUACUUAACUCCAAGAGAAACUGCCAGUGGUCCUGAGCUGCAGACUGUGAGAAAUGUGAACAAAGACCUCCAAAAAGUACUGAAAUGCCAUUGGACUCAGAGAGCUGAGAUGAGAUCAGGUCAUGUAGGGGUAGGCUGCUGCUGUCAGACACUGAUCCUGACCAGCACUGGGGAGCCUCAGCAGUGUUGGAGCCUGCCCACAUCCCACAUGGCACCUUGGUCCAGCUGGUAAGUCUGCUCCUGUCAUGCUCAAGCUGGUCUGAAACCUGAAGGUAGCAGGACCAGCUGUGAAAUUUGGAGCUGGUUCCUUCUCGGUGCUCCUGCUGUGGGUUGGGAUACACAGGAGCUGGCUUCCAGCACUGGGUCUGAUCUGUGCUGCCAAACCCUCUUGUAAAAUGCACUUUCUGUAGCUCAUUUGCACUUAUUUCCAGGCAGGCUGCAUGUUUCCCAGUCCCAAGGACUGCAGAGAUGUGAUCCACCUGCUUUUAUCCUUUAAUUUACAGCCAAUUACCUAAAAAAGUCAAUAAUACAGGCUCAUUAAACAACAGGCAAGGAUAAGCCCAGUUAAACCAGGUAUGCAUUUACUUCUCAGCUUGCUGCUGGAAGAUAAGCUUGCUCCACUGGUAUUUAAAAUGAAAGAACAUGCAAGGUUGCUUUCUUCCAAAGAGAGGAUUACUUGUCUGCUCUUGCAGUACUGUCAACUGGUGGCACGGUGGGAAAACAGGGGGUUUAGCUGAGCAUUUGGCAAUAGUGAAUGUUUAAUUUUAGCAGUGAAUGAAAGCUGAUUGGGAAAUCUCGUCUCGUGAUUAGGGACAGCAGGGAAAGCCUUGUGCCCUUGAAGCAUGCAGAAGAGAACUCUGAAAGCAGAGAGUGGCCCAAAAGUAAUUUACAGCAUUUUGGAGCUACUACACUGCAGCCACAGCUAUACAACCACACUACUGACUGAUGCACAUGGAUUUUGGGAGGGAGGCAGAUGGGCUGCUUCAUUCACAGCAGAAAUAAAUCAGCCCUUUGCCAAGUCACACCAAGACAGGAGAGGGAUGUUCCUGCUGCCAAUGGGUCCAUGCCAGGUCCAAGGGGCUACAAGGCAAAGAAAGGAAAAGAGAUCUCCAGAGAUCUUUGGAAAGGAUGCUAAGUUGUAGAUGUGAGUGUAGCACAUGUGGACAACGCAUGUACCAGCCCAGUCCUACACACUGCUGGGAUGUUACCUUGCUA